AAAAAGGGGAAUAAUUGGGUUGGGGGAGAGGAAAAGGCAAAUGGAAUUUGAAAUGGAAUGGAAUGGUGUGGUAUUACAACUGCAAGGAGACGCAGCCACCCGUCUCGCACCGUCCAUCCCUAAAACAUCGCCACGUCCCGCCUGCGGCAACCCCCAAUGUCCGUGGCCACCGGCGGCGGCGGCGUGCACUCCCGAGCCCAAUGCCCAAGCCCCACCACGCAGCCGCCUCCCCGCCGCAGCAGCCGCCGCUCCUCCCGCUCGCGCUCCUACCGCCGCGGCACUGCCCGCUCGCCUCCGCCGUGCUGGCGCUGCUCUCAGUUCUGCUCGCCACCGCGCUCUGGCUCCUCCUCGUGCUCUCCCCGUCCCAGGGGGCCCCGCCCGCCGCCUCUGAGCGCUCGGCGCUGUUGGAUGCGGGCGCGGCGGUCGCGGGCCCCGGCGCGGCCUCGCCCCUCUCGCUCGGCCACCUCGUCUUCGGCAUCGCCGGGUCGGCGCAUCUCUGGCCGCGCCGCCGCGAGUACGUCCGCCUGUGGUGGGACCCCACCGCGAUGCGCGGCCACGUCUGGCUCGACGCGGGCGCGCCCGCCGCUCCGGGUCCCAGCUCCGCCUGGGAGGGAUCCCUCCCGCCGAUCCGGGUGUCCGAGGACACCUCCAGGUUCAGGUACACCAACCCCACGGGCCACCCGUCGGGACUCCGGAUCGCCCGCAUCGCCGCUGAGGCCGUGCGGCUCGUCGGCGGAGGGGCGGGCGUGCGGUGGGUCGUGCUUGUCGACGACGACACCGUGCUGUGCGCGGACAACCUGGUGGCCGUGCUCAGUAAGUACGACUGGAGGGAGAUGGUGUACGUCGGGGCGCCGUCCGAGAGCCACUCCGCGAACACCUACUUCAGCCACAGCAUGGCGUUUGGAGGCGGUGGAGUCGCGCUUAGCUUCCCCCUCGCCGUCGCACUCGCGCGGACGCUCGAUGUGUGCAUCGAGAGGUACCCCAAGCUGUAUGGAAGUGACGACCGCCUUCAUGCCUGCAUUACGGAGCUCGGCGUGCCCCUAACUCGCGAGUAUGGAUUUCACCAGUGGGAUAUCAGAGGCAAUGCUCAUGGUUUGUUGGCAUCUCAUCCAAUUGCUCCUUUCAUCAGUAUCCACCACGUGGAGCUUGUAGACCCCAUAUACCCUGGAUUGAACUCUCUUGAGAGUUUGGAUCUGUUUACAAAGGCUAUGAAAAUGGAACCCAUGAGCUUCCUGCAGCGUUCAAUUUGUUACGAUCAAAGCCAAAAGCUUACAUUUGCUGUCUCGUUGGGCUAUGUUGUUGAAGUAUACCCCAAUGUUCUUCUUCCUCGCGAUUUGGAGCGAUCACAAAGGACUUACAUUGCUUAUAAUAGGAUGAGUCAGAGAAAUGAAUUUGAUUUUGACACUAGGGAUGUUCAGAAGUCUAUGUGCAAGAAGCCGAUCUUAUUUUUCUUGAAGGAUGUCUGGAAAGAUGGAAACAUAACUAGGGGAUCUUACGUACGAUCAAGUGGCAGGGAUGACCUCAAAAGAAAGGUGUUUUGCUUCCGGUCACCCCCUUUACCUGACAUAGAUGAGAUCCAAGUUUCAUCGUCUCCAUUAAGCAAGCGUUGGCAUCUGGCACCAAGAAGGUUGUGCAGUGCACUUAAAGGGUCCAUUAACGGUACUCUGUUUAUGUUUGUUCAGCAAUGUGGACGUGGGACUUUUGGUUCAGCUUCUGAUUCCCUAUGACUGAUGGAAAACGGAGAUGUAUAUUUUCUGUCCAGAUGAUACCUGGAAGGUGUAGUUACCACCCUACAUUCUUUGAAUCAAGUGUUAUGGGGGCUCUUUUUCUGCCUCAAGCGCUUGGCAGUAGUCAACUGCUUGUUAUACUUGGUAGUUACUGAAGCAGUUGUUGACAGAAGAAUUUGCUGAAAAGACAUACUGGAGAUUUUUUUUGCUUUGGAACCUCUAUGCGGCUGGUGUAUGAUACUUGCGGUCUGAGACCUAGUGAACAGAGAUCUUUGACUAAACCUUUAGUCUGAGAGAAAUAACUGGCUGGUUUCAUUCUCUGAGACCAGUUUAUUCACCUUCAUGGAUUCUCCUUGAAAAUGCAUGAAAUCAGGUAAGAGUAGUGGAUAUGUUAGUUUCGGGUUGUAGGGCUGUGAGACUGUAACCCUUUCAUAGUUCAUACCCUAGUUAGAUUUUGGAGCAUUGUAAAGCACAACAGCCUCGAGGGAGAAUCCAUUCAAUCUAUUCUUUCCUGUUACAUUUCAAAAAUCUUCAUCGUCAUGCCAUCUCCUGUGAAAGGGAGCUUUUCUUAAAGAGUCCGGUGGGUUCCAGUCUG